GAGACCUGAGCCUGAGCAGACAGACGGGUUUCCUGGUGGCAGUGGCUGGGGGAGCCAGAGAGGCACGGAGAGCAGGCUCGGCCCAGGGAAGGAAGGGCUCGCUGCUCUCAGACCCCUCUCCCCACCCACCCGCUGGGGACCCUGUAGGUACAUGUCAUCCUCCGUCUCACCCUAACCAGAGGUGGCCAGCGUCACACCCAUGGUGCAGAUGGCGAAGCUGAGCUGGGGACUGAAGCCCCUUGGGAAGGGUCACAGAUGAGCCCCUGUGAAGCUGGGACUCCCUGGAGGCCCACCUGUGAUCCCCACGGUCCUCGGCCACCUCUCCUGCGCUGGGGAGUUUGUGGAACCUCAAGGCCCUGGGGCCAGCUUUAAAGGAGUCUGUCCUGUUUCAGGGUGUCCUCAGGGCAGAGGGCGCAGAGAGAAGGCUGCAGCCUGGGGAGAAGCCAGAGUCACACAUCUGCAGGUGUGCGGUGGGUGUCCCCAGACUAUGUGCCCGUGAACCUCUGCUGAGCGCGCGCCAGGGUGUGCACAGGAUCGUGGGAGCAGUGAGCUCCGCUGUGGGUCCCUGUGCCGGGUGAGCACCGGGUUCUGUGUACCUGCCUGUCAGCGUGGACACUCGGGUCAGUGCACACGUGCCUGUCAAGGUGACAGCAGCCCAGAGCGUGUGUCCUGGGGCUGGAGAUUGCCUGGGUUGGGGCUUGGGCCUCCCUCCUCCCUCCUCCCUUCUCCCCUGCCCAAGGGCCUCUGCCCCUCAGUGGCAGAGUCGGGUGACACCCAGCAAACAGCAGGAGGAGGGAGGGAAGGAGUCAGGGUGCAGCCCCACCUGAGGGGAGGAGCUCUUGGCGGGCGCCGGGGGCCCACCUCCCCACCCCAGAAGCUCUCUGUGAGGGUGCCCCCUCCCCGGGAUGGGGGAAGUGGCCCUCCUCAGGGUGGGAGGAGGGUGUCCACAGGGUGCAGUGUCAUCCUGUCCCUGUGGGCUCUGGGAUUGGCCCCCCUGGCCUCCCGGGCCCUGUCCCUGCCCUGUCUCUGUUGUCCAAAGGGAGGCAGCGGGCCCUGGGCCUGAGCCCGUCUGGAGGCGGGACGUCCCAUGUGUGAGGGAGGGUGCGUGUGUGCCGCAGUGUCCCCACCGGGGGACACUUCUAGAUUGCAGAGCACUGCGCUGGGGGGCUCUGGAGUCCCGGCAGCUGGCCCCUGGCCCAUCGCAGCCCCGUCGUCUCUGUCUGUCCUUGACCUUGGACCCCGGGGGCACUGCGGGUCCCUGGCUCUACCUGGAGAUGCUGGCCUGCCCCACCCCCCACCCACAGCAGCCAGGCCAGUCCUCACACUGGUCCUCCCGAGGCCUCGUCCCCCCCUGGGCCUGCCCCAUCCACGUCACCCUCCGGCCUGGGUCCUCGGGCCUCCCCUCCUCUCCCGACUCUUGUCUCCCCUCUCGGUGCCCAUGGUGGCCGUGUCCCGGGAGCCAGCUCUCUGGCAGUGCCCUGGCUGUCCUCCCUGCUCAGACGUCCUGGUGGUGUUGAAGGCCAUGAGGGCAGAGGAUCGUGGUAGGAAGCAUUCAGCAGGUGCUCACUGUGUGUCGAGCACCAUUCCGGCCAUUUCACAGGUCAAGGGAAAGGGCUGCGGGGGGAGUGACUUCCAAAGUCCCACGGCUGUGGCCGCGGUGGGCUCCCACCCUCAUGUCCUGCACACAGUUGCCCUGGGCUGGCUGUGGAAGCCCCGAGGCACCAGAUGACACCCCCUCCUGCCCCCCAGGGUCCCGCCUCCUCCACUCUGUGUCCCAGCCCUGGGUGGGGACUCCAGGUCACGGGUGGACAGGCCCAGCCCAGGUCCUGGGGAAGCCGGACGGCCAGGCUGCUCCUGGGCACAGGUCCCGCUGGCUUGCCUGGACAUGAGGAGUGUCCCCGGGGCAGGCAGCACCUGCCCGCUGCCUCCUCCCGUAGUCACAGGUCCAGGGACCACAGGACUCCCAAGUCAUUGGUCGCAUUUGAGACAUUUUAUGCCUUCACUUAUUUUUAAGGAAAUGCAGAUCAAAACAGCUGAUGUGCUGGGUGCUGGGUGCCUGGUGCUGGGUGCUGGGUCGGGGUCAUAGCUCGCCUCCCAGGGGGAGGCUGUGGGCCCCAUCCUCAGCACCAGAGAGGCCAGAAACAGAGCCAAAAGCCCGGCAGGCUCCACCUCGACCUGUUAGGACGCCAGGGGACAGAGGGGGUGACAGGCUGCCCCUCGCACUGGGCUGGGAGCGUAAAAUGGCGGGACCUUAAAACAUCAAGAAUAGGAUCGCCACGUGAUGCGGCGCUUGUCCUUGUGGAAGCCUCAGAGAGAGAUGGCGCACUCGGCCGGGCAGCUGCGUCAUUCCCGAUGGCCAGGAGGUGCCGCGGUGACCCUGAACACACGGGCACACAGAAUCAGUGCGCGCCACAGAGUGUGUUCAUUCACCAAAGGAGGGGAUGCAUGGGGACAUUGUGCUAAGUGAAAGGAGCCCGUCACAAAUGACCAGUGUGGCAGGGUCCUCCUGUGCCAGGGACUAGAGUGGGAAAGUCAGAGAGAAGGCAGAGAGGUGGCCGCCAGGAGCUGGAGGGAGAUGGCAGGGCUAGUGCUCAGGGGGCAGAGCGUCAGCUUUGCAGGGCGAACAGUUCCACGGACAGGCGGCGAGGUGGAGGCACCGCGACGAGAAUGUACUUACUGCUGCUGUUACACACGUGACGGUCGUUACCAUGAGCUGGGCACCAUGAGCCAGGCACCAUCACCACCGUGAUCCCAGGGACUCAGGAGGCUGGGGCAGGAGGAUCGCAAGUUUGAGGCCAGCCUUGGCAGCUUAGUGAGACCCUGCUGCAAGAUAAAUUUUAAAAGAUUCACGAUGUAAUUCAGAAGUAGAGUGGGACCAAAAAAAGGAAAGAAAAAGUCAAGACGAUAGGUUUUAUGUUAGGUGCAUUUUUCUACAAUUUAAAAAAAAAGAAUCCUUCGGUCUCUCAAGUCCUGACAGAAGGCCUUCUUUAGAGUGGCAUUUGUGGGGGAUGGAAUGCUAGGUGGCAGGUGACAUUAGAGCAAUUAGGGGUGACAGAUGCUGGUAUUCCUGGGCAAGGGACCUUGCCAUUCCGAGCCUCAGUUUCCCCAGGUGACAUGAGGACAAUGAGGUGUCCUCCUCCUGAGGCCAGCAGGAGAGGUCUGUGCUUCCUGCUCGGUGCUCCCCCAGCAGCUGGUCCAGGCAGCACGCGUGACCUAGAGCCCCGAGUCCUGGCCACCCGGAGCCCCGGGUCCUGGCCACCCGGAGCCCCGGGUCCUGGCCACCCGGAGCCCCGAGUCCUGGUGACUUAGAGCCCCGAGUCCUGGCCACCUACAGCCCCGAGUCCUGGCGGGUGUUGCGGGUCCUUUGGGAUUUGGGAACGUGAGGCCGGGGGAGUCAAGAGACCUGCCCAGGACCUCAGCGUUCCCUGAACUGAACCAGGAGUCUCCUCACGAGCAGGGCCAGCCCUCGGCUGUGCCUGGGCACGCGUCUGUAUCUGUCAGCAAGGGCGCCGCGCUGCAGUGACAGAGGAGCCCUACGCUGAGUGCCGAAAAGUGUGUUUUGCCAACGGCGAAAGCUUCUGAGUCCAGGCGACGCUGCAGGGCACUUGGCCUCCCCAGGAAGACUCAGGGAUCCAGGCCCCUCCACCCUGUGGGCCUCCACCUCCUGGCCUCCGAGGCAGGGCACGCAGCGUCAUGUCACUUCGUCCCACAGUGCCCGACAGCUCUGUCCCACGGCUUACCCCACGGCACAGGUGGCAGGUCCCAGAAAGGAGCAGAGCCGGUUGUGGCAAAAAAGUCCCACAAGUUGCCACUCGCAUGAGGGUGCCCAGGUGGCCCCUGCAAGACACACACCAAGGCUUUCUGCUCCUCUCUGACCACGGAGUGUCCGGGAAGGCCCAGCGGCCUCCUGCUGUCCCGUGUCGUCACGCGCAGGGAGAUGGCCCCUCCGGGUGGGCAUCAGGCCCCUCUGCUCUAGUGGGCAGCCACCGCCUUCCCCUGUAGCUUCCUGUGUCCCUGUGCGGAGGUCUCCAAGGGACAAACGCUCUGGCCACAGGACAGGGUGCUGGGGAGAGCCGCUGGUGGCCCGGGACUGGACUGCAGGUGAGCACUAGGGAGGAGCAGCAGGGACCGGGACGACUGUGGGCUUCCCUGUGCCCAGCGACCCGCCUGUGCCCUGGUCCUGGGUGGUUUCCCAUCUUCCCGUCUCCCCCAGAGCACCUCAGUGCCAACAGUUCUGUCUUGUCCACUUAAAAUGUCUCUUUCCGGCCUGGGGCUGGGGCUCGGGGGUAGCGCCCUUGCCUGGCUUGUGUGAGGCCCGGGUUCAAGUCUCAGCACCACAUCUAAAUAAAUAAAAUAAAGGUCCAUUGGCAACUAAAAAAAAUAUUUAAAAAAAAUAUUUUUCUUUCCUUUUUGGGGAUCACGACACGGUUGUUUCUGACAAUACUGUGCACCCCGUACCGUGAACCACAUAAGGAAGCCGAACGAUAGGGAAACUGUGAGAAGGUAGAAAUCCACCAGGUGUGGUGGCGCACGUCUGUAACCCUGGCGGCUCAGGAGGCUGAGGCGGGAGGAUCGAGAGUUCAAAGCCAGCCUCAGCAACUUAGCGAGGCUGUAUCUCAAAAUAAAAAAUAAAAAGGGGCUGGGAUGUGGCUCAGCAGGUCAGCGCCCCUGCUUCAAUCCCUGGUACCAAAAAAAAAACAGUGUAACAAGAGGGCCGAGCCUCACCCCGGGGGCUCUGCAGGACCCUGCCCUUGCCCGCCCCAGAAGCUGACCGGCUCCAAGCCGCCCUCUGCCACGGGCGGGAUGGACACCUGCCUUUCUUGCUAAGGGUGGGGCGCGAACCCGCCCUUCGCAGUCGCCAGCCUGGCAGGGCCCAGGGUUUGGGACCAGCCACCGGCUCCACGGACUCCGCUCCCCUCCUCCUUGGGCUCCAGGGGUGGCUCAGCUCACAGGGCCAGGCGGCCUCUUUGUCCCUCCACCUGCUCGCCCGCCUUUGGCAGCGCUGACGUCCUCCAAGGCACCGCCUGGGCGUCUCCACCCACGGGACCUCAGGAGCCCCUGGGGGUGGCCCCAGAGCCUGGGGCUGGGCAGGGUGGGGGAGACACAGGUGGCAGGAACUCACAGGGACCCUGCUUCAACCUCCAUCAGGGAGUGACAGACAGGGCCAUGCCCCGCUGAGAGGCGAGUGCAGCAGCAGAACCACCACCACAGCACCCUGGCCACCCCCAGUGACUCUAGGUCAUGGUCACAAGCUCAUGUGAGCCUUGGUUGCCUCUCCUGGAACCCCUGGGGAUGGCUUGGCACUGAACAAGAGCAGGAAAGAGGUGGUCAACACUGCCUGCCCCUAGGAUCAGCUGGAAACUCACUGCUUCAGGCCACAGGGUCCCUGGCCCUGGAAGAGCUGAGGGCAGAGCCAGAGGGCGGCCUCCCAGGACAGCCCCCACAUUCUCCCCACAGGUGUGUGCCGUCCCUUGGCUCCCGCUCACUCACCCUGGUAGCUCACCCGCUCCACCUCCUCUGCUGCAGCCAGACCAGCUGCCUUCCAGGCCUCUGGGCCUUUGCACAUGCUGGUCUCCAUACCUCAGACUCAUUGUGUGGUCUUCAGGACUCAGCUGGGCUUCCCUCCUCCAGGGAACUGACCUCUUCUGAGCGCUCCUGGCAGCAACCAUCCAGCAGAGACCUUGUCCCCACUGUCCCCCUACUUGUCUAUCACCCUAUUAGACCAUCCAGUUCCUUACUCACCUUCAGCUGAGCCCCAGGCCUGGCUGGGAAGUAGGUGGCCCCUGCUGCAUGGCAGGACGCUCCGUCCCCCAGACUGACCUUGCACCUCCCUUCCCUGGGACGCCCUGGCCUUGCCCCACCCCUUCCUCUCCACCUCAAAGCACUGUACCCAGGGUGCCCACUGUGGGGCCCUGGGACCUGGAGUCCGGUUCUCACCUCUGCAUGAUGGGAGAGCAGCAGGCGUGGCCUCAGGCCUCGAGAGGACUCGAGAGGAACGGCCAGGCUUUGGCCGUUGCAGGGGCUCAGUCAACCUUAAAGGCUGUCCUCCUUCCUUCCUGGGACCGCCCUCUGCCCCCAGUAGCCCACGGCUCCCGUCUUCACCCAGGGGGCUGGAGGCUGCCCCCUGCCCACCUUCAGCUCCUGUUCAAAGCUCUCACCAUCCAUCUUUCUGGAUUUUCGGUGAGGACAUCCUGACUAGUGGCCACAGUCCUUCGAGGAGGUAGGGGCUUCCUGGUAGCUGGUGCCUUGGCUCCACCACCCACCCCAUGGGGACCUGGGGGAUCCCGGGCAGAACUACCAGUUCCCUUAGUCACAACGUGGCACUGAUACUGUCCCCAUGGUGACUGUUCCCCUGCUGGGGGUGGGUGGGACCCCAGGGGAUGGAUGGGGACAGAGGGCUCAGCUUGGCAUCAGACACCCGAGAGGGACCUGCCUGUCAGCCCAGCCUGUGGCCUCCUCGCAGGCCUGGAGUGAGGCUGGAGGGCAGCUGACCCUCCUCUGAAUCCCCAGCUUUGCAGGCUGAACAUGACCUUGAUGGUGGCCCUGAUCAUGGCCCGAUCCUGGUGUAGGAAAAAGAAAAGCUUAAAAAGCAACAGUUUUCUCCAAUUACAAAAGUAAUACAGGUUCGUUGUGGAUCGUUUCGAAAUUAAGAUAGACCAGAGGGAAGAAUUUGAAGGACCGGUGUUCAUCGCCACCUCUUCCUGUUGGAGAGGUGGGCUCCCAGCCCGCAGCGGGGGGGUGGCCGUCUUGGAGCACUGGAUGGGGUCACGGACGUGCUCGGUCUGCAGCCUGGUCCACCCGCUGGCCAGCAGAACCCCAGCCUCUCCUCCAGCCCCGAAGCCCUGUGCCCACUACUCGGGGACCCCGUCAGCAGCUGUCCUGUGGGUCAGCGGAAUCCGGCCCCAGGGCUAAGGGCUGCAGCUCCUGCCUGGGGCCGGCAUCUGGGGCUCCUGGGCAGUGGGCAGCUGGAGGACUGGUCUCCAGCGCCUUCAGAGACAGCGCGGUCCCCACUGUGUCCACACUCCUUCAAGCCAGUCCCCAGUUCUGGACACCACGGCGCUUCCCAGGUUGUGGUGUCACCAAGGCCACAGCGUGUGGGUCCCUUGGCAGCUCCUGUCCCCGCACGGUGGGAGCAUUCCCUCCUGGGUGAGCUGUCCCCCUCUCCUCAGAACCUUCUGGUGGGGUGGGGACGUCCUCAUCCCUCUCCUGCAGAGGAACUUGGGAGCCAGGGGGCGGGGCUGCCCGUCUCCCCAGAUCCUGCCAUGCCCCCCCCCAGGCCCUUCCCGGCCUAGCUCUGGGUGACUUUGUCCCCGGCUGCCUGCCUGCCCUGGCCCUACAGAGGGACCUGCCUGUCCCAGCACCACAGGUAGCAGGGCUGCCUCACCCCCCGUCACCCCCUGCCCCAGGGGGACCCAGAGGGGACCCGGGCAGGCUUCAGGGAGGAGGGUAGGAAACGGUCAAGGUGCCAGGGGCCUCUGGGGCAGGGACCCUUCAGCCCGGUGCCGGUGGCAGGAAGCACACCACGUGAGCGCAAGUCCUUCUGGGGAAGCCCUUGGCGGGAGCAGAGACGCAGUGAAGGCAGCGGCUUCUAUUAAAAGCCCUUCUCAUUAC